rnacentral:piRNA from 1 species
AAAUGCUGAACUUAACUGCUAGAGGGUUU